rnacentral:lncRNA from 1 species
CUGCCCUGCUCUCCAGCCUCUGUCUUUUCUACUUCUUUCAGAUCAGGGUCUGUGGUGAGCCCUAGGGGAAUAUUUUUUUUUAAGUCCUAGGAUCCAGGAGAGCUGGGUUCUAGUCCUAUCCCUGUCCAGGCAGACUCAGGAAAAUCUCUUUGUGGGCUCCAGUUUCCUCAUUCCUGAGAUGUUAGGGUUAUGUGAGAUGACCUCUGAGGCCCCUUCCAGCUCCAAGAUUCCACCAGGCAUCUAAAUGUCCCUGAAGUUUGGGGAGUCAUUGUUCUUCAGCAUCUCCUCAGGGGCAGCCUGGGCUGAACAAUAGUUUUGUGACUUGAAAAGUAUUGGAAGUGGAGGUUAUCCAUUCAAUCAAGACUUUUAGAUGAUCUGUUGUAUCUUGCAACACCUGCCCUCUUCAUCCAUUUUCUGCUAUUGGUCAUCAAGAGGACGGUGGAAUUCCCAGAUAAGAAGAAGAAAGGCAGAACAAACCUGCAGGUCCCUACUGUGGUGGUCACUGGUGUGGAUGCCAGAUACAUCCAACUCUCUGCCUUCUGUUGCAGAUGAGCUUGGCACCCCCAGAGGCCAUGUGUGGAAGAUGGCACAGCCACAAGAUGCAAGGGACCAGGAGCUCUGAAUAAGCACUUGGAGAAGAGCCACCUGCCAAUACAUCCAUUUUUGGACUUCAUAUGCUGGGUGAAGAAGGGAAUGAGACAGAAAGACUAGGCUUAGAGAAGCUGGUUAAGGAGGCUGCUGCAGUGAUCCAGGUGGGAAAUGGACCCAGAGCUGUCAACAGGGAUGGCAAGAAGUGGACAGAUCUGAGGCCUGGUUGAUGAUGGGCUGCGAGGAAAGAUGUGGGAGAUGUGGGGAGACAAAGGUCAUUCCUUGAACAUGCAGGUUGAAAUGACCAAGAAGUUUCCAGCUAGAGAAACAGACUUGUGAGUCAGCAGCAGAGAGAACCAAUGCACUCUCCCAGGAAGAGGGGUAAAUGGUGAGAAGAAAAGAGGGACUGGAACGGAACCCCAGAGGACCAGGGAGAGCUGCGCCCCAAAGGGACCAAGAAGAGCUGGUCAGAGAAGGAAGAGAAAGACCAGAAGCGCACAUUGUCAAGAACAUAAAGAAUGGUGGCUAGUAAGAGUCAACAUGUGUAAGAGGGUCAAAUUCUGGGAGAUGUAUUCACAGGCCACUGGUAACCUUGGCAGGGAAGAUGGGGUCAGUGCCUGGGGCGGGGCUGAAGUGGUGGUAAGAGCAGAUACCAUCUAACAGGGGCAACUAUUCUUUAUCUAUUUGUUUGCUCAUUCAGUAAAUACUUUAUACAUGAAACAGGGUGCUGUGUUCAGAGCUGUGGAUAAGAUGCCAACUCCGGAGGCCUUCAC